AUUGAACGCUGGCGGCAUGCCUUACACAUGCAAGUCGAACGGUAACAGGCCGCAAGGUGCUGACGAGUGGCGAACGGGUGAGUAACACAUCGGAACGUGCCUGAUAGUGGGGGAUAACUACUCGAAAGAGUAGCUAAUACCGCAUAAGAUCUCAGGAUGAAAGCAGGGGACCGCAAGGCCUUGCGCUAACAGAGCGGCCGAUGGCAGAUUAGGUAGUUGGUGGGGAUAAAAGCUUACCAAGCCGACGAUCUGUAGCUGGUCUGAGAGGACGACCAGCCACACUGGGACUGAGACACGGCCCAGACUCCUACGGGAGGCAGCAGUGGGGAAUUUUGGACAAUGGGCGCAAGCCUGAUCCAGCAAUGCCGCGUGCAGGAUGAAGG
rnacentral:rRNA from 1 species